CCCGCAACGAGCGCAACCCUUGUUUUUAGUUGCCUUUAUGGAACUCUAAAAAGACUGCUGGUUAUAAACCGGAGGAAGGUGGGGAUGACGUCAAGUCAGCAUGCCCCUUACACCCUGGGCUACACACGUGCUACAUUGGGCGAGACAAUGAGAUGCAAAUCUGCAAAGACUAGCUAAUCUAUAAACUCGUUCUAAGUUCGGAUUGCAGGCUGCAACUCGCCUACGUGAAG
rnacentral:rRNA from 1 species